rnacentral:rRNA from 1 species
GUCGAGCGGUAGAGAGGUGCUUGCACCUCUUGAGAGCGGCGGACGGGUGAGUAAAGCCUAGGAAUCUGCCUGGUAGUGGGGGAUAACGCUCGGAAACGGACGCUAAUACCGCAUACGUCCUACGGGAGAAAGCAGGGGACCUUCGGGCCUUGCGCUAUCAGAUGAGCCUAGGUCGGAUUAGCUAGUUGGUGAGGUAAUGGCUCACCAAGGCGACGAUCCGUAACUGGUCUGAGAGGAUGAUCAGUCACACUGGAACUGAGACACGGUCCAGACUCCUACGGGAGGCAGCAGUGGGGAAUAUUGGACAAUGGGCGAAAGCCUGAUCCAGCCAUGCCGCGUGUGUGAAGAAGGUCUUCGGAUUGUAAAGCACUUUAAGUUGGGAGGAAGGGCAUUAACCUAAUACGUUAGUGUUUUGACGUUACCGACAGAAUAAGCACCGGCUAACUCUGUGCCAGCAGCCGCGGUAAUACAGAGGGUGCAAGCGUUAAUCGGAAUUACUGGGCGUAAAGCGCGCGUAGGUGGUUCGUUAAGUUGGAUGUGAAAUCCCCGGGCUCAACCUGGGAACUGCAUUCAAAACUGUCGAGCUAGAGUAUGGUAGAGGGUGGUGGAAUUUCCU